rnacentral:lncRNA from 1 species
GUGUCCACAUGAGAAAAUUGGCCAGGGCGGGGAGAUGGAGGCUGUGUUCAGGCUGGUCCACGCUGGGUCACCCAUGUGACCUGCUGCUUAGCAAUUCUUUGUCACCAUCUUCCCUUCUCAGCCUCUUUUUCCAUGCUAAGAGGCAUAAAUGAAAUGAUAAAAGUUUGAGCUCUUCUCAUGGAAUUCUUGUGAUACAGAUAUGUGCUACAUGUUCACUAUCUCAUUGGUCUUCACCAUGAUAACUGUGGAGUAAGAAUUAUCAGCAGUUCGCAGAUUAUGGACUUGAGACUGACAGUUUGGCUUCCCUGUUCCAGGUGGCAAAGCCUGUGGGGUAUUCACCUACCUGCUGCAUGAAGGCAGCAUGGAGGGACUGUGGUGGAUUAUCUGCAAAGAUGGCCCAAAUUCUCUCAUCCCUGCAGGUACAUACAAGAAUGAGGAAGAAAGAUGAAGAAUGAGGAGGAAGAAGGGAGGAACAAGAGAGAGAGGUAAAGCCAACAAGCAGAACAGACCUACAUUUGCAGCAUCUCCAAGUUUCUGCAACAGC